rnacentral:lncRNA from 1 species
CAAAGUUUUGUGGACCCAAAACUUGUCUUUUUGGAAUUGUAGUCUGAGCCUCCGCCCAUACCUCGCUCUCCACUUCUGCAUAUCUAAGUAUUUCCUGAGGAUUUCCAUCUCUAUUAUUGAAAACUUUAUUAUUUCUAUUUUUCCAAAUGUACCACAUAAUCUAUGGAAAAUUACUGAAAUCAUGCUCUUUUGGCAAUCUCCAGAAGAGAUAAUCCAUAUUGGUAAAUAC